rnacentral:lncRNA from 1 species
GCCUCCUAGAGGUAGUUUUGGCAAUCUCAGAGUUUUGAUAGCAUUAGUGACACCAUUUUUCAGAAGGGCUGUUUUCACAGGCUUUGAAGUGAAGAAGGUCUCAAAGAAGAGGCUGUUGGCCUGGGUUAUUUUUUCCUCCAAAGGAGCAUGUUGUAUCUUCUCUUACUGGCCAUAUGGACGUUUUGACUACAUUCAAGAAAGAAUUAAUUUUUAUGAAUAAGUUUUUUAAAAAAUACAAAAAAAUACACUUUGGAAAACCUAAAUAACAGAUUAAUGUCCAAAGGAAAAAGCAAGUCACCACUUCUCAACAAUCCUACCAGCAGAAGGAGAAACCAACUCCAAGUUCUUAUUGGAAUAUUUACAGGGUACUGGAGGGGCUCACAGUAUUAAGGAGAAGACUCCGGCAGCCUCUGAAAGAAAGAAAACUAGGGAAGCUCUGGAAACACCAAUAAACGACCUCUGUCUAGGA